rnacentral:rRNA from 1 species
GACGGGGGGGGCAAGUGUUCUUCGGAAUGACUGGGCGUCAAGGGCACGUAGGCGGUGAAUCGGGUUGAAAGUGAAAGUCGCCAAAAAGUGGCGGAAUGCUCUCGAAACCAAUUCACUUGAGUGGGACAGAGGAGAGUGGAAUUUCGUGUGUAGGGGUGGAAAUCCGUAGAUCUACGAAGGAAGGCCAAAAGCAGAAGGAGCAGCUCUCUGGGUCCCUACCGACGCUGGGGUGCGAAAGCAUGGGGAGCGAACAGG